UCCUCUUUUCCCUAGGUCAUAAUUAUAACCCUCCUUCUAUAUUCCUCUUUUCCCUUUCUUCCUUCUUAUCUUCUCCCCACUGUAUCUCUCUUUAUAAAACAAAAUCCAAACAUUAUAGAUGAAUUAAGGAGGACGGCCGGCCAAGCCCCCGCUGAAGCGGCGGCUUGGCAUAUGCUAUCUCCGUCCCUGCCUCUAAGUGAGAUGAAAGAUUACAUUGACUGUCACAAAAUUCAGCCCUACAAAUGCAACAAGAAAUGGGUUGUGUCGUUGACUCCACUGCCACAUAACCGGUCGGGUUCACUAGUCUAAUUGUAAAAGGAAGCUCACUAACCCGGAUCGCUUUCGUUUUUGCUCGAUUGCAUGCAAGGUCUUUUUCUAAUUUAAUUAUCCUUAUAGCUCCUAGAUUGAAUAUCUAGUCAAUUAUUAUUGUCAUGUAAUAAUAUAGUGCGGAAAAUACCGACAAGAACAAGAUCUAGAUUCGGAAUUGAGGAUUCAAGAUUGUAUGUUGAAAUAUUAAACACAAACGAUAAAAAUAUUUAUUUCGUUA